GACGAACUUUGGCGGCGUGCUUAACACAUGCAAGUCGAACGGAAAGGCCCUGCUUUUGUGGGGUGCUCGAGUGGCGAACGGGUGAGUAACACGUGAGUAACCUGCCCUUGACUUUGGGAUAACUUCAGGAAACUGGGGCUAAUACCGGAUAGGAGCUCCUGCUGCAUGGUGGGGGUUGGAAAGUUUCGGCGGUUGGGGAUGGACUCGCGGCUUAUCAGCUUGUUGGUGGGGUAGUGGCUUACCAAGGCUUUGACGGGUAGCCGGCCUGAGAGGGUGACCGGCCACAUUGGGACUGAGAUACGGCCCAGACUCCUACGGGAGGCAGCAGUGGGGAAUAUUGCACAAUGGGCGGAAGCCUGAUGCAGCAACGCCGCGUGCGGGAUGACGGCCUUCGGGUUGUAAACCGCUUUCGCCUGUGACGAAGCGUGAGUGACGGUAAUGGGUAAAGAAGCACCGGCUAACUACGUGCCAGCAGCCGCGGUGAUACGUAGGGUGCGAGCGUUGUCCGGAUUUAUUGGGCGUAAAGGGCUCGUAGGUGGUUGAUCGCGUCGGAAGUGUAAUCUUGGGGCUUAACCCUGAGCGUGCUUUCGAUACGGGUUGACUUGAGGAAGGUAGGGGAGAAUGGAAUUCCUGGUGGAGCGGUGGAAUGCGCAGAUAUCAGGAGGAACACCAGUGGCGAAGGCGGUUCUCUGGGCCUUUCCUGACGCUGAGGAGCGAAAGCGUGGGGAGCGAACAGGCUUAGAUACCCUGGUAGUCCACGCUGUAAACGGUGGGUACUAGGUGUGGGGUCCAUUCCACGGGUUCCGUGCCGUAGCUAACGCUUUAAGUACCCCGCCUGGGGAGUACGGCCGCAAGGCUAAAACUCAAAGGAAUUGACGGGGCCCCGCACAAGCGGCGGAGCAUGCGGAUUAAUUCGAUGCAACGCGUAGAACCUUACCUGGGUUUGACAUGGAUCGGGAGUGCUCAGAGAUGGGUGUGCCUCUUUUGGGGUCGGUUCACAGGUGGUGCAUGCCUGUCGUCAGCUCGUGUCGUGAGAUGUUGGGUUAAGUCCCGCAACGAGCGCAACCCUUGUUCACUGUUGCCAGCACGUUAUGGUGGGGACUCAGUGGAGACCGCCGGGGUCAACUCGGAGGAAGGUGGGGAUGACGUCAAGUCAUCAUGCCCCUUAUGUCCAGGGCUUCACGCAUGCUACAAUGGCUGGUACAGAGAGUGGCGAGCCUGUGAGGGUGAGCGAAUCUCGGAAAGCCGGUCUCAGUUCGGAUUGGGGUCUGCAACUCGACCUCAUGAAGUCGGAGUCGCUAGUAAUCGCAAAUCAGCAACGCUGCGGUGAAUACGUUCCCGGGGCU
rnacentral:rRNA from 1 species